AGGGAAUAUUGGUUAAUGUGCGAAAGCGCGAACCAGCAACGCCGCGUGUGCGAUGAAGGCCUUCGGGUCGUAAAGCACUUUUUGCAGGGAAGAGGAAGGACGGUACCUGCAGAAUAAGUCUCGGCUAACUACGUGCCAGCAGCCGCGGUAAAACGUAGGAGACGAGCGUUAUCCGGAUUUACUGGGCGUAAAGCGCGUGCAGGCGGCAUGGCAAGUUGGAUGUGAAAGCUCCCGGCUUAACUGGGAGAGGUCGUUCAAUACUGCCAGGCUUGAGGGUGGUAGAGGGAAGCGGAAUUCCGGGUGUAGUGGUGAAAUGCGUAGAUAUCCGGAGGAACAACAGUGGCGAAAGCGGCUUCCUGGCCCAUAUCUGACGCUCAGACGCGAAAGCUAGGGUAGCAAACGG
rnacentral:rRNA from 1 species